GAAAAAAGAAUGCUUAUGUUUAAAUUCCAAAUAAGUUUGGCAAAUCAUACUCCUAACUGUCAGAACAGCAGAAGAACCAUACUUAAGCAAAGAACAGGUAUCUUCAAAACGCAAGUAAAAGUGUUAGUUUUUCAGCUUAAGGUCUAGAGAAAAGAAUCCUACUGAAGAAUGAAGACCCUGAAGAAAUAAAACUUUCUUCUCAGGCACUUCUGCUGAGCAUUGUUCUAUUCUGGAUGGACUUUUCUGCACCCUAGUAAACUUUUGGAAUUGCACAUUACAACAGUCUGUAAAGGUUAAUGAUACUCUAAAGUUCUGUCACUGAAUGAUCUUAAUGUAAUUACUUUAUUCCAACAUGCAGAUACCCAUGCCUGCUACUACUUAUUAUCAUUGUAUUUUUAUUGGGUUUUGCUCAUUGGUUGUUAUUGCUGUCUUGUCCAUAAUUAUAGUUCUAUUUUGGACUUAACAACAUCACAUUGAAAAGUUAUAGAAAGACAGAUUUCAAUAUACUGAGAGUAUAAGAAGCGUGAAUCCAGUGGGAAAAUGUGAAAUUAAAACAGUAUUCCAUCA